rnacentral:rRNA from 1 species
GACAGAGGGUGCAAACGUUGCUCGGAAUUACUGGGCGUAAAGCGCGUGUAGGCGGACUGGUGUGUCGGAUGUGAAAUCCCCAGGCUCAACCUGGGAACUGCAUUCGAAACUGCCAGCCUUGAGUGGUGGAGAGGGAAGUGGAAUUCCUGGUGUAGAGGUGAAAUUCGUAGAUAUCAGGAGGAACACCGGUGGCGAAGGCGGCUUCCUGGACACCAACUGACGCUGAGACGCGAAAGCGUGGGGAGCAAACAGG